rnacentral:tRNA from 2 species
GAGAUUGUAGUUCAAUCGGUCAAAGCACCGCCCUCUUAAGGUGGAAGCUGCGGGUUCGAUCCCGUCAAUCCA